ACCAGUCUAUGGCCAUGAACAAGCCCAAUCCCGUUUGAUCUCGGAAGCUAAGCAGGGUUGGGCCUGGUUAGUACUUAGAUGGGAGACCACCUAGGAAGAACAGGUGCUGUAGGUG
rnacentral:rRNA from 1 species